UUGGUUUAACAGAAACAAAAUGGACCUCUGGGAUAAGGCGGGAGAAUAGGUGAGGCUCAGACAUUUUAACCCCUUCAAUAGUGGCACGUUAUUGUUGCGCUUAGGGACCAAAGUGACUGAGGACUGAUGAAGGUUAAGCGGUUGUACUUGUACCAUGUGUUAAAUUAUUUUCUGAAACAACUUUAUACAGUAAAAAAAAAAAACCAUCCGUCACGUUUGAUAGCAUAAACCUUCUGGAGACAACUCGCGAAUUUAAAGGAUUUUACUCAGGCAAAGUAGGGAUCUUUUUGACAUUCUGGCAAAAGUAUAGAAAUACUCUAUUGCCGUUGUCACUUCCGAAGUAAUUUUUCAUCAAGGGAUCAGUUGGGAAUUAUUUUAGGCGUACGUCUCAUUAAACGGCCACUAAUGUAGUUUUUCAGCUGGGUGGCAUCCUCAAAAUGGUCGGAGUAAGCUGAAGAAGCGAUGGUUGUGAAUCCCCAAUUAAUUGUCAGCGAAAGUAACUCCGUAACAGUGCUGUCAUUAGAAACGCCACUUUGGAAUCCACUGUGACUGAAGGGAGACUGGACACGUCUUAGUGAAUCCCAAGAGGCUGGUGUUGCCAUCAAAAAGGCUGCCUCCCCAGCCAGCUGUGAAAAAGCUGCAAGUUUUGUAAAGAAUAACAAGGGUGAUGAUAAGAGAUUCGUGUACCUAGCCCCGCGUGUCUCUCUGUGCUUGGAUAAAGCUAUAGGGGGACGUCGGAGUCUGAAACAGCCGCUGGAAUACUUCCAAAGUUGAGGCGUGUUUUAAUUAAUUACUGCCAGCCUUUUUGGAAUAUGUGUUUUGAGAAACUUGUGGAUGAAUGCCAGGCUCACUUGGACAUGUAGUAGUACUGGAUGUAAAAUCUAAAUAAAAUGACGCUGUCACUCAGUUGAACAGUCACAGACAAGGGUUGGUUUUUACAACAAUUCCACUGGUCACUAACUACUAAUAUCGUGGAUUUAACAAAGGUGCUGGAAGAUGAAGUUGUAGCAUUCGACUAAGUGUUGCAGUACUCCUAGUAUUCCAUGUGGGUGUAGUUCUUAGUGGCACUUCACAUCUACUCUACUAUAGAUCCUACUUAUCCGCAUGGUUUUACAGAUUUGAUCCUCAGUGGAUGAAGGAGUACAAUGCAAGAUGCCUGGGUUCAGUUCCUAAGAUGAGAUCCAUAGGAAAGAGCAUUAUUCAACCACAGCAACAGAAAAGGAAGUCAAAUUAAAGUGCAUAAAUAUGAAGAACUGUGGAUCUUUAACAAAUGGCAAAAGAGGCAUAUUAAUGCAGUGCUGCUCGGAUUUACCAGAAUGCAAGAUUGCUGAUGACUGAAUAAACAGCACAGCUCAUCAGAUUAAAUCACUCUCUGAAAGACCUGAGCGUCACAGAUUUGUUUUUGUUUCAGGAUACAGUUUGGCCUGUCUGUCUAAUGACUGUAGUAACUGAUUAUUUCCCAGUGCUUGAGUGAUGUUCAUAUGCCCUAAGACUUCUCUAAGGUGCCACCAUGUAUUAAUGAGUGCAUCGCAUGCAGAGCCGUGGAAAGCCAAUGCCAAGUAUUACUGCAGAUGAGGACUGGAGUACUACAUUUUGAUGUUGCUUUCUUGUAUAGAUAACCCUUGAUUCCUUUGGUUAAAACCUGAUUCCAGUCAUUUGAAAACAUCACAUUACUUUUUUUCGUUGAAAGGAUUCUUCUAAUCCAGAUGUAGCAUAUCAUGGUAUAUCUUGUUCUACUUUUAUCCUUUGGAGACACAUUCCUCUCACAUUCUCAUAUACAUUGGAAGUAAA